rnacentral:rRNA from 1 species
UACGUAGGUGACCAGCGUUGUCCGGAUUUACUGGGCGUAAAGAGCUCGUAGGCGGUGUGUCGCGUCGGCCGUGAAAACCUGCAGCUUAACUGUGGGCUUGCGGUCGAUACGGGCAUCACUGGAGUUCGGCAGGGGAGACUGGAAUUCCUGGUGUAGCGGUGAAAUGCGCAGAUAUCAGGAGGAACACCGGUGGCGAAGGCGGGUCUCUGGGCCGAUACUGACGCUGAGGAGCGAAAGCGUGGGGACGAACAGG